GCAUUGGUAGUCCAGUGGUAGGAUUCUUGCCUUCCAUGCUGGAGAUCCAGGUUCGAUUCCUAGCCAAUGCA
rnacentral:tRNA from 1 species